AAACCUUUACACACUUCGAUCUAAUUAUUUGAUUAAUCUCAAAAUUUACACACAUAUUAACAACUAAAACAUCAAUACAUUUUUUAAAAUUCAUCCAUACAUACUGUGAUUUCUCGUUUUACUUAUUCCGGAAGAAACUUCCCAGAAUAAACCCAUAUAGGAGAAUUCGAACACGGGGAGUGACUAGUUGCUUGAGCGUUCACGUUAGGAUCACACAAUUAAUUACCUCCAAUGUAUCGUCACUAUUUCCAUUGUCUAAGCACAUAGGAAAACGAUAAUCUCUCCUUUCACCUUAUCACUCUCUUCCUUGCAACAAUUCAGUCAUACCAAUAACUGCUAUUUCCACCAAUAUAUUCACCCUCAUAAUCUCCAACUGUAAUACCUCAACAUCACAGCUUCAGCACACAAUUACCCUCAUUCCAAUUACUGGAAUUCUUCACACAAAACUACCAUUCACAUUACAGUGUUUCACACAACCACAGAUUCACUCUUUCUGCUGAACUACAUUCAGAUUUCAGCAUUCAAUCUCUCUUCUUCUCAUUCAAUAACAUAUAAUUCCAUUCACACUUUCAUUCCAUGAUUCACUUCACAAUAUUCAAAAACUCUCAAUACUCUUAUUUCAAAGAACAUAACAACAAAAGAAAAGAGGUAGCACCAAGCUUACCCCGGCUCACACUAUCACAGUAAUGGCGGUUUCUUCCUCUCUUUCAUCUUCCUUAUCCUACCACAAGAUACCAACUGCUACAUCUCUAAUGAAAACUACUUUCCCUAACUAUUCAUCCAUUUUAACUACUAAACUACCUUUCUAACAGUCAUCUAUCCCUAUUUAUACUAUAAACUAAGUAUCUACAAAUCAGUAAAUAACUACUUAUUCUACAUAGCCCCACUCCUAACUAUGUAGCGUCCUCGCAAA
rnacentral:lncRNA from 1 species